rnacentral:rRNA from 1 species
GAGUUUGAUCGUGGCUCAGGAUGAACGCUGGCGGCGUGCUUAACACAUGCAAGUCGAACGAGGAAUUUUAAAUGAGACUUCGGUGGAUUUUAAAAUUCUUAGUGGCGGACGGGUGAGUAACGCGUGGGCAACCUGCCCUGUACAGGGGGACAACAGCUGGAAACGGCUGCUAAUACCGCAUAAGACCACGGAGCCGCAUGGCUCAGUGGGAAAAACUCCGGUGGUACAGGAUGGGCCCGCGUUGGAUUAGGUAGUUGGUGAGGUAACGGCCCACCAAGCCGACGAUCCAUAGCCGACCUGAGAGGGUGACCGGCCACGUUGGGACUGAGACACGGCCCAAACUCCUACGGGAGGCAGCAGUGGGGAAUCUUCCGCAAUGGGCGAAAGCCUGACGGAGCAACGCCGCGUGAGUGAAGAAUUAUUUCGGUAUGUAAAGCUCUAUCAGCAGGGAAGAAAAUGACGGUACCUGACUAAGAAGCCCCGGCUAACUACGUGCCAGCCGCCGCCGUAAC